UUUCCCUUCCAUUCCCCUACAGGUACCAGGCAUGGAACAACAUCUGGAAGUGGCCACUUCUGUGUACAGAAAACCCAAUUUGGCCUGUAAUUAUAGUCUCACCAUCAAGCCUACAUUGCAGUAACAAUUCAUUCUCCCAACUUCAAGAUUCCACAUAGUGCUGGACAUCCAUAGAGUCGAAGAAGAUCUGUUGAAUGUUUAUAGCUGCCAGUCUGAUGUCCUUACAUCUUGGCAUCUCCCCCAUGGCCAUUUACCAUUCUACAACCACCCCUGUCUAUGCCUAUCUCUUGCUGGUAUGAGGGGUAAGGAUAAGUGAUAGCAUGGCAU
rnacentral:lncRNA from 1 species